UACGAAGGGGGCUAGCGUUGUUCGGAAUUACUGGGCGUAAAGCGCGCGCAGGCGGUCUUCCAAGUCAGUGGUGAAAGCCCGGAGCUCAACUCCGGAACUGCCAUUGAAACUGUUAGACUUGAGGACGAGAGAGGUGAGUGGAAUUCCCAGUGUAGAGGUGAAAUUCGUAGAUAUUGGGAAGAACACCGGUGGCGAAGGCGGCGACCUGGUCCGAUACUGACGCUGAGGCGCGAAAGCGUGGGGAGCAAACAGG
rnacentral:rRNA from 1 species